UUACGGCCAUAUCACGUUAAAACACCGGUUCCGUACGAUCAGCAAAGUUAAGCAACGUUGAGCCUGUUCAGUAUCAAGAUGGGUGACAGAUUGGGAUUACUAGGUAUUGUU